GCAUCUGUUCAUAGCAAGCUUGAUGCUACUUUUCUUUGUUGGCAAUGGGCCAUGGAGAGUAUGAAAAGUCUCAGAGUUGAUAAAAUCAUCUUUGCCUCUGAAGACAAUGAUCUAAUUGGAGCUGUUACGCGACUGCCGUCUUGGCCUUCGUAUAAAUUUCAGAUUCACUUUUUGUUGGGAGAAUUAAGUAAUUUUUUGGAUUGGAAUUGUGUGGUGAAGUAAGAAGCUCUAAUCUUGGAGCUCAUCUUAUUGCCAAGAGCGUGACAAUGGAGGAUCGCCGCCAAUCGUAUGUAGCAACCGGGUUUCCUUUUUGGCUGAAACAUCUUUUUGAGAAAGAAAGAAGUAUUGCUUAGUGUAAUACUCAUUGUGGUUGAUCUAGAAUGAUUGUCCUUGAUCCUAACUUUUUGUAUAUUUGGUUACAGUCUUGAAUAUAAAAUAUAUCUUUCAGUGAAAAA
rnacentral:sRNA from 1 species